ACUCUAAUGGUAGUUUAGUAAAAUGGAUGAGUAGUUUCAGUCUGCCUCCUCAGGCUGCAACAGAAAGUCAAGCCAAGCAGCCAGGAAUGUCUGGGAAUCACCUGGAGAGAGGACAGACAUCUGAAGCACAGUGGAAGGUGAUAGAUGAGUGGGACCCAGGAAUAAACUACAGAAGCAGUGUGGAUUGUGUUGAUUCUAGCAAGCAGGAGGGGUCCUCGUGGUAUUUCUGAGCAUAAGCUGAGGGAUUAUGUUAAUGUGGGGGGAAAAAAUCACCGAACUGGGAGAGAGUCAGACUUCCUUGGGUGUGACCUUUGCCCUGUCACCAACAUCGUAUGUCACAUCCCCAUGGACGAGUCACAUUUUCUUUCUAACUUUGUUUCUUUGUCUGUAAAAUUAUUAAAUGAUUUCUUGACUCUUUCUUUUCUAUAUUCUUUUUAACGAUUUCAUUAGCUUUUAAUAACUAUGUGGGGAAAGGAGAGCAACCUGCUAUAGACCUUGGCCUGUGUGAGUCUUUAAUUUUGUUUUUUGUUAUUUCAAAGAAGUUCUUGUUCAAAAGACCAUGAGACAUUUCAUCAUUGGACUUGUGAGGGAGUUGUCUCUUUAAUCUCUCAUGUUUUCUUUUUUCCCUACAAAUGAUACCCACAAUACUGCUGUUGUCUUGUGCUCUCUGGAUCAGCACUUUUCUGGAGAAAUGAAAACAUUGCACUUUUAAAGGCACAGAAAGCAAAAUUACUGUAGCAUCAGGAUUCAAGGUUACAGAAUUGGUUAACUUUGUGGUUUGUUUUGCUGAGCUGAAUGAAAAAGAUUUGAUCAAAUGUUACUGCUUAGGGAUAAAUAUUAAUCACCACAAACUCUCUCAGUGGUUAUUGUCCCCCCUUUUGCAAAAACUUUCAAAUUACGGUCUGGGACUUAGAUUUGAUUGUCAGCUGAAUAUGGGCAUGAAAUAUGUGGAAUAACCAGAUAAAAGACCCUUAAUUGGUUGUAGAGAAACAACUCUUUGGGGGUCCAUGUCCAGAGAGAGAAUUGGUUCUGUAUUAUUGAUUUGUAUCAUUAUUUUGAUUAAGUGUCUAGCAGUUGCUGUAGACUUUUAUAACAUUAUAUAAUAGAAUUAGUAUUAGAAAAAAGUAAUCAAAGGUAGGUUUUUUUAAAGAUACAAGAACUGAAGUUUUUAAUCUUCAGUCCUUCAUAGAGAAGGAUUUAUUAGGUUUGAGAGUUCUCAGUACCAAGUAAAUUUUAACCGCAGACUUAAAACAUGAGUACACUCACAUAUAGUAACCCCCUCCUCUGGCCUGGUUUUGUUCUCUAUUCCAGUUGACUUUGCUUUAGGGGAAAGGAGGGAGAGUAUUGGUAUUAAUUUAUUUGAAAAAUCAGUAGAAAUGUGUCAGACACUUACUAUAUGCCAGGACUUACAUUGAUACAUAAGAGGUGGACCCCUGUCCUUAUGGAGCCCGCUUGAAUCAAAAAGUAAACAUAUGAUUAGCAUGCAAAUAGAUGGCUAUAAGAAUGUGAUGGGCAUGCUGUUGUUUCUAGCAGGUUGCCUACCACAUGGUCUAUAUGUGUUAGAGAUAUGCAUUAGGUACACAGAAGAGGGUGCAUUUGUGGCAUAGAGAGAGAUUAUAGGAAUCUUCAUGAAGGAAGUGACAUGAUGAUGAUAUUUUAAAUGACAGGAAGGAGUAUGCAAAAAAAAAAAAAAAAAA
ensembl:lncRNA